rnacentral:rRNA from 1 species
UACGGAGGGUGCAAGCGUUAUCCGGAUUUACUGGGUUUAAAGGGUGCGUAGGUGGGUAGGUAAGUCAGUGGUGAAAUCUUCAAGCUUAACUUGGAAACUGCCAUUGAUACUAUUUAUCUUGAAUACUUUGGAGGUAAGCGGAAUAUGUCAUGUAGCGGUGAAAUGCUUAGAUAUGACAUAGAACACCAAUUGCGAAGGCAGCUCGUUACACGAAUAUUGACUCUGAGGCACGAAAGCGUGGGGAUCAAACAGG